UUUCCACCUAAUUUACAUAUUAGAUGUGCAUGACCACCGUUAGAUACUUAGAUGGUCUUAUCUAUGAUCGCUUGAAAAACCCUAAACUAAGCCGCCUCAAAAUUCCUUACCCUUGCGCCUCAACUUCACUUCUCCCUCCCCAACAAAUUCGAUGAUCCAAUUCUCUACUUAUUAGUCCUCUUUUCACAUCGCAGUAGAAGAUAUGGGUUCAUCCGCUGAAUCUUCAAACUCGAAGGGAACGAAGAGAGAAUUUAGUACACCUAUCAAUUUUGGAUUGUAAGAAAGUUGCAAGUCAAUAUGUUGUGGGUGAGCCGAUGAACGGUGAUGACUUUGUUGCACCCACAAUCCCCGGGACCAUGGAAAAGUUACAGAUCUUUCGUGGUACGGUGGUGGUACCAUCCUUAUCAGGGGAUGCAUAAUUUACUCCUAGGACAUACUCAAGGGAGAAGCAUGGAUUGUUAUGUACAAUGCAAACAUCGAGAAAUCUUAUCAGCUUCGAUUAGCUGAGCUGUUAAAUAUCUAGCACAUCCCAGGUCAAUUUUGAAGUAACUAUGCUGAUUGUGGUAUAAUUAUGUUUGGCAUUACUUCCUGUGUGGUGCACGAUAAUGUCUCGAUGGCACAGAAUUAUCCGCAGGUUUGUUUCAUCUAUGAUUAACGUUGUUUAGUUUGAAGACGUAAUGCACUUGUAGCAGAUCUUUAAAUAUGUGAAUGUAUAUACAGGGACUGUCAGAUGGGUAUAGAAUGCUCAUGCAUAUGAUAGAGCAAUGGGAAUGGACUCUUGCACCUAAUUGUCUCCUUCUCUAGGGUAUUGCUUUUUGUAACUAACUUUAACUUGUUUUGUUUCAGAAGGAAAAAGCUAAAAAAAUAUGGAGAUUUAAAAAGCUAAAUUGUGUCAUUUUUCCCCGUUUAGCUUGCAUGUUUCCUUUGUAUCCAAAUUGCAGUAUUUGACUUCUUCAGGCUCCCCUUUCUAGUCACUGCAAAGUUAGAAUUCUUUCUCAUUAUGGUGCAUACAGAGUUGUAACUAUCUCUUAUUUUUCUUAAUGAAUUUCUCGUGGUGUAAUCUCUAAUUUAAGACAUAUAGAUUAUUAUUAUUAUAAAACAUCGUAAUAGUUCUGUUUGCAACAUUCCAUCCAGAUGAUUGAAUCUGUUCCCUUUCCCUCUUUCUCUUGCAGGUGCUUAUUUAGAAGCUACAUAGAGAUGCAGAGGAAAUUUUGCUCAGAUGGGAAGACUUGGAAAGGGGAUGGUUUGGUGGUUAAUCGUCUUCGAGUGGUGUUGAGCAUAUGUUCCAUGUUUUUUACUUAAUUAUUUACCUUUAUGCAUUUUCUCUGGAAAUGUAAUGACAAUAAUGUUUCAAUAAAUAU